AUAUCAGGGGAAAAGGCAGGAUAUAAAUAAUAUAUUAUUAUAUAUUUAUUUAUAUCCUGCCUUUUCCCCUCAUAG